CUGAGGGCGCAGCAGGUGCAAAGGCCCUGGGGCAGGACCGGGCCUGGCGUGUUGGAGGAACAGCGAGGAGGCCCCUGUGGCUGGAGCAGAGGGAGGAUAGGGAGGAGACGGGGCAGGUUGGGCCUGGCCCCAGGG